rnacentral:rRNA from 1 species
UGGGGAAUAUUGGGCAAUGGGCGCAAGCCUGACCCAGCAACGCCGCGUGAAGGAAGAAGGCUUUCGGGUUGUAAACUUCUUUUCUUGGGGACGAAGAAAGUGACGGUACCCGAGGAAUAAGCCACGGCUAACUACGUGCCAGCAGCCGCGGUAAUACGUAGGUGGCAAGCGUUAUCCGGAUUUAUUGGGUGUAAAGGGCGUGUAGGCGGGAAUGCAAGUCAGAUGUGAAACUAUGGGCUCAACCCAUAGCCUGCAUUUGAAACUGUAUUUCUUGAGUGCUGGAGAGGCAAUCGGAAUUCCGUGUGUAGCGGUGAAAUGCGUAGAUAUACGGAGGAACACCAGUGGCGAAGGCGGAUUGCUGGACAGUAACUGACGCUGAGGCGCGAAAGCGUGGGGAGCAAACAGGAUUAGAUACCC